rnacentral:rRNA from 1 species
AUGAACGCUAGCUACAGGCUUAACACAUGCAAGUCGAGGGGCAUCAGGAAGAAAGCUUGCUUUCUUUGCUGGCGACCGGCGCACGGGUGAGUAACACGUAUCCAACCUGCCCUUUACUCGGGGAUAGCCUUUCGAAAGAAAGAUUAAUACCCGAUGGCAUAAUGAUUCCGCAUGGUUUCAUUAUUAAAGGAUUCCGGUAAAGGAUGGGGAUGCGUUCCAUUAGGUUGUUGGUGAGGUAACGGCUCACCAAGCCUUCGAUGGAUAGGGGUUCUGAGAGGAAGGUCCCCCACAUUGGAACUGAGACACGGUCCAAACUCCUACGGGAGGCAGCAGUGAGGAAUAUUGGUCAAUGGGCGCUAGCCUGAACCAGCCAAGUAGCGUGAAGGAUGAAGGCUCUAUGGGUCGUAAACUUCUUUUAUAUAAGAAUAAAGUGCAGUAUGUAUACUGUUUUGUAUGUAUUAUAUGAAUAAGGAUCGGCUAACUCCGUGCCAGCAGCCGCGGUAAUACGGAGGAUCCGAGCGUUAUCCGGAUUUAUUGGGUUUAAAGGGAGCGUAGGUGGACUGGUAAGUCAGUUGUGAAAGUUUGCGGCUCAACCGUAAAAUUGCAGUUGAUACUGUCAGUCUUGAGUACAGUAGAGGUGGGCGGAAUUCGUGGUGUAGCGGUGAAAUGCUUAGAUAUCACGAAGAACUCCGAUUGCGAAGGCAGCUCACUGGACUGCAACUGACACUGAUGCUCGAAAGUGUGGGUAUCAAACAGGAUUAGAUACCCUGGUAGUCCACACAGUAAACGAUGAAUACUCGCUGUUUGCGAUAUACAGUAAGCGGCCAAGCGAAAGCAUUAAGUAUUCCACCUGGGGAGUACGCCGGCAACGGUGAAACUCAAAGGAAUUGACGGGGGCCCGCACAAGCGGAGGAACAUGUGGUUUAAUUCGAUGAUACGCGAGGAACCUUACCCGGGCUUAAAUUGCAACUGACUGAACCGGAAACGGUUCUUUCUUCGGACAGUUGUGAAGGUGCUGCAUGGUUGUCGUCAGCUCGUGCCGUGAGGUGUCGGCUUAAGUGCCAUAACGAGCGCAACCCUUAUCUUCAGUUACUAACAGGUCAUGCUGAGGACUCUGGAGAGACUGCCGUCGUAAGAUGUGAGGAAGGUGGGGAUGACGUCAAAUCAGCACGGCCCUUACGUCCGGGGCUACACACGUGUUACAAUGGGGGGUACAGAAGGCAGCUAGCGGGUGACCGUAUGCUAAUCCCAAAAGCCUCUCUCAGUUCGGAUCGAAGUCUGCAACCCGACUUCGUGAAGCUGGAUUCGCUAGUAAUCGCGCAUCAGCCACGGCGCGGUGAAUACGUUCCCGGGCCUUGUACACACCGCCCGUCAAGCCAUGGGAGCCGGGGGUACCUGAAGUACGUAACCGCAAGGAUCGUCCUAGGGUAAAACUGGUGACUGGGGCU